rnacentral:lncRNA from 1 species
AAGUGUCCUUCUUUGCAAUGUCACUCGUUUAAAAAAAAAAAAAAGAAAAAAAAGAAAGAAAAAGAAGAAAAAGUUCACCGGGUGUAAACCUGUACGCCUGUAAUAUAUUUAUACAUAUAUAUAUAUACUUAUCAUAAAUAUAUAUAUUCGCCCUCCCUUCAUAUAUACUAUUUUGCUUAGAGUGGCUUCUAUUUGGGCGUCGCUAAGGUCGCUUUUGAAAGCAUAUUUGUAAAAGAAAAAAAAAGUUAGACUUGUCCAAGUGCUUGUAAUUGACGGUGCAUCUGCUUCGCGUUUGAUCUCAUUGAUUCGCGCCGGUUCCUGGAUCCAUAACCAGCGUUUAAAUAGCGUGGCAGCGGCGGAGCGUGUUACCACACAAGGCGCGCCGAGGCCGGCCUUGUAUUUCCAGCGGGUGGGGAAGGUGGGGGUGGGGAGUAGUGGGGGCUGGGCUGGGGGAGCCUCUCAUUAACAUUCUUACAUCAGGGCUCCUCCCCGCACCCCUUCCCUUCCCACCACUCCCCUUUCCCUAACCCCCACUCCCCUCCAACUCUCAACCUCUUCCUUAAAGCCACAGUCGCCCACGUCCGCACCCGCAGGAGCCCCCACCGCACCGCACCUCCUCCGGGGUCCCCGCCUCUCCCUGGCCCCGCACGAAGCAGCGCUCUCUCCAGCCCUGGGCUCUAAAAAAAGAAAUGCUUUUGAAAGUAAAGCAAUGCGCGCAGGCACAAACACAACGUGCAAAAAUAAACAGCAGCAUUAGAGGAAGGAGUGGUCCUAGAAACUGGUCGUUUCGGUGCAAAAAUCCGUAGGUCCCGCUCGCUCUCACCUCUUUCUCACUCCGGCCACAUUCCCUCAUGACGCGCCAACUCCGGGUGAGCACCCGACCUUCCCUGUCCCCUGGCGCUAGGUAAGGGAACUGGGGCUAAGGACCCAGUGCAGGCGGCUUGAUCGCGGACCUGAAACGCCCUACUAGCCCGGGCGUUAGUCGCACCCCUCCUUCCGCAUCCCAGCACAGGCCCCCCUCCCGCUGGGCAGCGCAGGUUCGCGCCGGAGUCGCAGCGUCGCUGGGAUCCCAGGGAUCCCGCGCACAGACCCUCUGCCGCCGCACAGCGAGCAGGAAAGCGAAACUUGUUGCUCCCAAAGACAAGCGAAUGGUCUGGCUUCUGGAAGUGGCAAAAAGCUUGAGAAGCAUCUCCAAGGCGUCCUCGGGGGUUGUUUGCUAAGCCAGAGAGAUACGUCUUGGUUAGCAUCCAGUCUUCUGAGUUGUAUCCCGUGGAAACAGCAGGCAUUUAGAAGCCUCACAAACAUGGCUGGAGGUUAGUGAUCACCUAACCUACUGGACCUUCAGUUUUCUCACUUUCCUCAAUGUCCUCGCACCUAACAUGGAGGUAAUGAUAUCAUCCUGAUGUUGCAGGAGUAAGAAUCAGAAACAAUAGACGCAAAGUGCUUCGAAUACAGUAGGAAAUUAACAAAUGGCAGCUCUUGGUAUUAUAUUCCCUUCGAUGACUGGUAAAGAGUAUUAUACCAAGUUAAG